rnacentral:rRNA from 1 species
GCUCAAAUUUGAAAUCUGGCCUCUUCGGGGUCCGAGUUGUAAUUUGUAGAGGGUGUUUCGGGCGCGAUGCCGGUCUAAGUUCCUUGGAACAGGACGUCGUAGAGGGUGAGAAUCCCGUAUGCGACCGGCGAUCAAGCCCAUGUGAAGCCCCUUCGACGAGUCGAGUUGUUUGGGAAUGCAGCUCAAAAUGGGUGGUAAAUUUCAUCUAAAGCUAAAUAUUGGCCAGAGACCGAUAGCGGACAAGUAGAGUGAUCGAAAGAUGAAAAGCACUUUGGAAAGAGAGUCAAACAGUACGUGAAAUUGUUGAAAGGGAAGCGCUUGCAAUCAGACCGGUCCGGAGGCGAUCAGCCGCUGCUCGUCAGCGGUGCACUCGCCUGCGAUCCGGCCAGCAUCGGUUUGGGCGGCGGGAUAAAAGGCGCGGGAAUGUAGCUUCUCUCGGGGAGUCUUAUAGCCCGGGUCGCAAUGCCGCCCGCCCGGACCGAGGACCGCGCUUCGGCUAGGAUGCUGGCGUAAUGGUUGCAAGCGACCCGUCUUGAAACACGGACCAAGGAGUCUAACAUCUAUGCGAGUGUUUGGGUGUCAAACCCAGGCGCGGAAUGAAAGUGAACGGAGGUGGGAACCCGUCAGACGGCGCACCAUCGACCGAUCCAGAUGUCUUCGGAUGGAUUUGAGUAUGAGCAUAGCUGUUGGGACCCGAAAGAUGGUGAACUAUGCCCGGAUAGGGUGAAGCCAGAGGAAACUCUGGUGGAGGCUCGCAGCGGUUCUGACGUGCAAAUCGAUCGUCAAAUCUAGGCAUAGGGGCGAAAGACCAAUCGAACCAUCUAGUAGCUGGUUCCUGUCGAAGUUUCCCUCAGGAUAGCAGUAACGUUUUCAGUUUUAUGAGGUAAAGCGAAUGAUUAGAGGCCUUGGGGCUGAAACAGCCUUAACCUAUUCUCAAACUUUAAAUAUGUAAGAAGUCCUUGUUACUCAGUUGAACGUGGACAUUUGAAUGCACCGUUACUAGUGGGCCAUUUUUGGUAAGCAGAACUGGCGAUGCGGGAUGAACCGAACGCGAGGUUAAGGUGCCGGAAUGCACGCUCAUCAGACACCACAAAAAGUGUCAAUUCAUCCAGACAGCCGGACGGUGGCCAUGGAAGUCGGAAUCCGCUAAGGAGUGUGUAACAACUCACCGGCCG